rnacentral:rRNA from 1 species
AGGACGAACGCUGGCGGCGUGCUUAACACAUGCAAGUCGAGCGGUAAGGCCUUUCGGGGUACACGAGCGGCGAACGGGUGAGUAACACGUGGGUGAUCUGCCCUGCACUUCGGGAUAAGCCGUAGGGAAACUGGGUCUAAUACCGGAUAUGACCUCCUAUCGCAGUGGGUGGGUGGUAGGAAAGUAUUUAUCGGUGCAAGGGAGUCGGGCCCCGCGGCCUAUCCAGUCGUUUGGUUGGGUAGGGGUAAUCGGCCCUACGAAGGCCGGACGGACGGGUAGCCGACCGUGAGGAGGGUCGACCGGCCACACCGUGGGACUGAGACGACCGGCCCAGACUCCGUACGGGAGGCAGCGAGGUGGGGAAUAGUGACACAAGUGGACGAAACGCU